GAGUUAAGGCAAUUAAUAUGA
rnacentral:piRNA from 1 species